rnacentral:rRNA from 1 species
GUUGCCAUCAUUCAGUUGGGCACUCUAGCGAGACUGCCGGUAAUAAACCGGAGGAAGGUGGGAUGACGUCAAAUCAUCAUGCCCCUUAUGACCUGGGCUACACACGUGCUACAAUGGUUGGUACAACGAGUUGCGAGUCGGUGACGGCGAGCUAAUCUCUUAAAGCCAAUCUCAGUUCGGAUUGUAGGCUGCAACUCGCCUACAUGAAGUCGGAAUCGCUAGUAAUCGCGGAUCAGCACGCCGCGUCCAUCGUCCGGCCUU